GAGCCUUCUCGACCUUUUGGCUAAGAUCAAGUGUAGUAUCUGUUCUUAUCAGAAAGAAGGCAAGUAAUUGAACCAUAUCCAAGGGUACAAGUGAAUCUUUCUAAGAGUAGAAUGUGAACGUUU
rnacentral:snRNA from 1 species